UAUGCUUUGGGGAGCUGUAAGUAAGCUUUGAUCCAGAGAUUUCCGAAUGGGGAAACCCAGCACGAGUUAUGUCGUGUUAUCUGCAUGUGAAUACAUAGCAUGCAAGAAGGCAGACCCGGAGAACUGAAACAUCUUAGUACCCGGAGGAAGAGAAAGAAAAAUCGAUUCCCUGAGUAGCGGCGAGCGAAACGGGAAGAGCCCAAACCAAUAAGCUUGCUUAUUGGGGUUGUAGGACACUCU
rnacentral:rRNA from 1 species